rnacentral:rRNA from 1 species
CGUAUAUUAAAGUUGUUGCAGUUAAAAAGCUCGUAGUUGAAUUUAUGGAGGUACUUUAGGUCCACUUGUGGUACCAAAAAAUACCUUCAUCUUUAGGCGGAACUUCUGUGUCAUUAGCUUGUCGCGGAGGGUAUGUCUAUCAUUUACUGUGAAAAAAUCAGCGCGUUCAAAGCAGGCUUAUGCCGUUGAAUAUAUUAGCAUGGAAUAAUGAGAUAGGACUUUUUUACUAUUUUGUUGGUUUGCGUAAAGAGGUAAUGAUUAAUAGGGACAGUUGGGGG